UCGACAUCGACUCCUGACCUCUUUAUCAUCGGCGCGAUAUCGCAGACGACGCGCACUCGGCCCACGGCCCGCUCUCUGACAAGCGUCGCUCAGGAGACAGAAACAUGUUGUGGGUGUGCUGCUGGUCGGCGCUGCUGGCGGCGGCGCUGGGCUGCGAGCUGGUGCCGGGCGAGCACGCGCGCCCCAAGUCUCCCGGGGACAACUUCUACCGCAUCCUCAUUAACGGGGAGGUGGAGCGGUACGCGCCCGAGCAGCGCUAUGUGGUGACUCUCGUCGGCUCGCGCACACACUCGGUGGUGCAACAGUUCACAAAGUUCCAGCUCCUGCUGGACCCGCUGGACCCGGCGGCGCCCCGGAGCCCUCGCAAGCAGGGCCAGUUCCAGCUCUUCGCCGACACCCUCACCAAGUUCGACGAGGAGUGCACCAACUCGGUGAUCGAGUCCGAUGACCUGCCCAAGACUGAGGUGCAGGUCAUGUGGAAGGCACCGCCGGCUGGCUCCGGUUGUGUUUUAUUCAAGGCCAUGGUAUACGAGAACGCGAGCCGCUGGUUCGCGCAGGACGGGCAGCUCACCAAGCGCAUCUGCGAGGACGCGGCGCUGUCGGCGCCCGACUGCUGCGCCUGCGACGACGCCAAGUACAAGAUGGUGUUCGAAGGCUUGUGGUCUCCUCAGACGCACCCGAAGAACUUCCCCGUGCAGGCGCUGUGGCUGACGCACUUCUCCGACGUGAUCGGAGCCACGCACCCCAAGAAUUUCAGCUUCUGGGGCGAGGGGGAGAUCGCUACUGACGGAUUUAGAUCUCUGGCCGAAUGGGGCUCGGUGGGUCUGCUGGAGCGCGAGCUGCGGCAGCAGGGCUCCGUGCUGCGCUCCAUCGUGAAGGCGGCGGGGCUGUGGCACCCGCGUCUCAACCAGAACACCAGCGCCACCUUCAGCGUCGACAGGAAGAGACACUUACUCUCGCUCGCUUCCAUGUUCGGGCCGUCCCCCGACUGGGUGGUGGGCGUGAGCGCGCUGGAGCUGUGCAACAAGGACUGCACGUGGGCCGCCAGCAAGGUCAUCGACCUGUUCCCGUACGACGCCGGCACCGACGACGGCAUCUCCUACAUGUCCCCCAACGCUGAAACGACGCCUCGGGAGAAGAUGUACCGCAUCACUACCAUGUACCCCGAGGACCCGCGCGCGCCGUUCUACAACCCCGACCAGAAGCAGAUGAACCCCAUGGCCCGGCUCUACCUGACGAGGGAGAAGCUCAUAGCCCGCUCCUGCGACGAGCAAGUGUUGCUGAGCCAAGUGGUGGAGGAAGCAGAGAAUACGGAGUCUACGAACAGGCCGGAGUGCGCGGUGUCGGAGUGGAGCGCGUUCUCUGCGUGCUCGGUGACGUGUGGCAAGGGGCUGCGCAUGCGCACGCGCGAGUACCGCCUGCCGCAGAAGGCGCAGAUGUUCGCCUGCGACCGCCAGCUCGUGUCCAAGGAGAUGUGCGUCGCCGCCGUGCCCGAGUGCGAGGGAGACAGUGCAAAUGAAGCAGACUCUGAGUAUGAGGCGGAAGCGGGAGCGAGCGCGGGCGCGGAGGCGGCGGGCAUCUGCCGCACGUCGGAGUGGGGCGCGUGGAGCGAGUGCUCCGUGACGUGCGGCGUGGGCAUCAGCACGCGCCGCAGACACUUCCUCAACCAGAUGGGGCUCAAGAAGUGCCCGCUCGUGCACGUCGAGGAGAACCGCAAGUGCAUGCAGCCGCAGUGCACGGAGGAGGAGGCGGCCGACGUGUCGGACCCCGCGUGCCCCACCAGCGACUGGGCGGCGUGGUCCCCGUGCUCGGCGUCGUGCGGCCGCGGGGUGCGCUUCCGCACACGCCUGCUGCUGGUGCCGGCCGAGCAGCAGCAGCAGUGCGCGGCGCGCGUCGAGCUCAUGCAGCAGCGCGCGUGCCAGGAGCAGGCCGACUGCACCCUCGACAUGCUCACCGCCAAACGCAUCUGCAUGGAGGCGCCGGAGCAGGGCCCGUGCCGCGGCGUGUACCAGCGCUGGGCCUUCGCCGCCGCCAAGGGCAUGUGCGUGCCCUUCAGCUACGGCGGCUGCCGCGGCAACCAGAACAACUUCAUCUCGCAGCAGGACUGCCUCGACACCUGCAGCGUCGUGCUCGGCGGCGCGGGCGCGGGUGCGGGCGCGGCGCCCCCGGUCGCGAGCUCCAACUACCCCGGCCUCAGCAUCAGCUCCAUCGAGCCGGCGCCGCCGGCUAGCAACGUGCCGGCGAGCGCGGGCUGCCAGCUGAGCGAGUGGAGCGAGUGGAGCCGCUGCAGCGUGUCGUGCGGCGUGGGCUACCAGCAGCGCAGCCGGACUGUACUGGUGAGUGCCGCAGCAGCGGUAGACUCUGUCACACUGCUGCGCAGAGGCCGGCGAGCGCGGGCUGCCAGCUGAGCGAGUGGAGCGAGUGGAGCCGCUGCAGCGUGUCGUGCGGCGUGGGCUACCAGCAGCGCAGCCGGACUGUACUGGUGCCGGGGCCCGUCGACGCGCCGUGCCCGCGCCACCUCGUGCAGCGCCACCGCUGCUACCGGCAGUGCUAGAGACCUGCCGACCCGCUCGAGCGACAGGCGAGUGGGACGAUGCCAAAGAUGUAACUUAGUUCAUUGAUUGCUGCCACUCCUUCGUAUGUUUAGUUGACAAUAGCGCAGAAGUCAAAGAGCUGCGUGUACGCAUGUUAAUUAGUAAGUAUCUCGAAGUCAAUAGAUGGUUGCCGAGUCUACUCACUGACUGUACUGCUCUCUGUGGCACCUACUUAAUACUCUAUUUCUUUAAAAUAAUAAUAAAUUAAUAUUCUUGCAAAA
rnacentral:misc_RNA from 1 species